GUUUUCAUGGCGUAGUUGGUUAUCGCAUCCGUCUAACAAUCUCUGUUGGGAAGCGAGUUGUGCACGGAAGGUCCUCAGUUCGAGCCUGGGUGAAAACA